CUAUCAGCCUGUUUCAAAGAACCGGCUCCCUAGCCUCUUGUAUUUUGACUAGAAUAGAUUCAGCAAAACAGCAGAAGGAUAGUCUGGACAGCUGAGAAUGUGCGUGGCCCGUGGGUCACAGCAUUAUAAGGAGAUAAAAGGAACUGAGAAAUUCAUCAAUGUGAGUUUAUCAGAAGAAAAUCAGCAUUGCAGAUGGCACAGGCUGAGAAAGAUCAGGACACAUUUCCGACAUGAAAUCUGCAAGCAUAGCCAUGUGGUACUUCAUUGCUACUUAAUGAAAGAGACAGAACCGAGGAAAAUCUUCCCAAGUCUCUCAGACAUCAGCUGAAAACAGAUGAGCUGGGAAUACAGGUUGAAUACCUUUUGCAGCUCUUCCUUUGGACAAGUUCACCAAGUUCAGGAAAUACCUUGGGAACAAUUCAUGUCAGUGUGUCUGUAUUGCUUCUGUCAUUAGCAUGAAGAGCCUCAAAGUAAUCUAAGUCAAUGAUCUGAUUACUAAUAAAGAGCAGCACUGGAUACAGGUCAGACAUGUGCUUUGUAUUUCCCUUCCUUUUCAUAUUUCACAGUAUUAAACAGUACUGUGAAGAGAGAAAUCUUGCUACUAGCAAGAGAUGUAUCUGUAUACCUAUACUUCUCAUCAACCUAAUCAACAUCAUGCAUUUCAUGCAAUUCAAGCAUUCAUGUAAAGCAUAUGUAACUCAUUAGAAAAAAUGGAGUUUCAUCCACAUUCACUCGGUUAUGUCCCCUCUUCACUGUAAAUCCUGAAACAAAUGGGAAAA